UCCAUUGCCACGUCCUUUCUUUAUCCUUUCAGCUUAAUCACCCACCACAUACAUUGAAAUUAGCCCAAUCCAUUGGAACCCACCAAAUUGACGAAUCAAACAAAUAAUGAGGCUUCUGAUCAGGUCCCACAUUCAGGGAUGAUGGACCAAGUCUUCGUUGGAUUGCCCAGUCAAAAUUUCCGACGCGUUCAGCAUUUUUCUUAUCUAGCAUUCAACUCACGCUCAAAUACCACGCCGUCUCUUUUCCCCUCCUUCCAAGCAACAUCCUCCACUCCCCAGCCCCCACCACCAUCACUCCCUUUUCCAAUAUAUAACUGCCACUCUGUGCUCUCUCCCUCCUCGCCAAAACCCCCCACUACUUCACAAUCAUCACUUCAAUCUUCUCUGCUCUCAUCAUACGCACUCACUUUUUUCUUUUUGAUCUUUAGAAUGAUUCUUCAAGACUCAAGCAUGGACUCCAAGCCAAUUAUCAUCCGAGAAGUCUGGUCUGCUAAUUUAGAAUGCGAAUUCCAACUCAUCCGCGAUCUUAUUGAUGACUUUCCUUUCAUUUCCAUGGAUACCGAAUUUCCUGGACUUAUUUUCCGCCCUUCUCUCGACCCCACAAAGCCUUACUCCCAGCAACGCCGCCCCUCUGAUCACUACAAAAUCCUUAAGUCUAACGUCGACGCUUUGAAUCUCAUCCAGGUGGGCCUCACUCUCUCUGACUCCAAUGGCAACCUCCCCGACCUCGGCACCGCAAAUCGAUUCAUUUGGGAAUUCAAUUUUCGAGAUUUCGACGUGUCUCGCGAUGCUCACUCUCCCGAGUCCAUCGAUUUGCUUAGACGUCAGGGCAUUGACUUCGAGAAAAAUAAAGAAGAAGGGGUUGACUCCGCUCGUUUUGCCGAAUUGAUGAUGUCUUCAGGACUCGUGUGCAAUGAUUCAGUGAGUUGGAUUACGUUUCAUAGCGCCUACGAUUUCGGGUAUUUAGUGAAGAUUUUGACACGUCGAGUUUUGCCCUGUAGUUUAUUGGAUUUUUUGAAAUUGUUAAGGGUGUUCUUCGGGAAUAGAGUUUACGACCUCAAACACAUGAUAAAGUUCUGUGAUAGCUUAUAUGGUGGUUUGGAUCGGGUAGCUCGGACACUCGACGUAAAUCGAGCUGUUGGCAAAUGCCACCAAGCCGGAUCAGACAGCUUGUUGACAUGGCACGCAUUUCAAAAGAUGAGGGAUGUCUAUUUUCUGAAAGAUGGGCCAGAAAAACAUGCUGGAGUUUUAUAUGGAUUGGAGGUGUUUUGACUUUUCAGACUUAAGUAUUCAUUUAAUUUGUUUAAAUUAUAAUUUGUAAAUUAAUAUUUUUUUAGUAAAAUUAUUUAAUAAUAAGUGAAAUAUUAAUAUAUUGUUAAGAAA
rnacentral:misc_RNA from 1 species